GCUGUAGCCAUGCCUACUUAGGGGCUGGCUACAGGUGUGCCUGACCACGCUUGUGAGGGUGUGGUCAGAGUGACGUAGUGUGACUUCGUUUGCUCUUUCGCUUUCACUUUGCUUCUUGCUGUACAGACUGCUGCCACGCCGGCUGGCUAGGUUACUCUGGUCCUCAUAUAGAGCUUUCAUCUACCGUGUCUGACUACAUGCCACUGUGCUCCCUGCCUUGAGGAUAAUGAAUUAAACCUCUGAAACUGCUUGGAUCCUGGAAACAGAAGAGAUGAACACUUGGAUGGGAAGUUACGAGUGUCAUACAACAAGAUGUAAGCAGCAACCAACAGUUGCAAUAUAGGGCAAUUAACACAGAGCACCUGACUUCCGAGUUGCAACUUGGAGGAAAACUGAAGAUUCCGAAGAAAGAAAAUAGAAUAAGAGUUUGUGGGUAGCAGAAGAGAAUCUGAAAAGAAUGAAAUAGCACUGUGUUUUCUCGAGAAAUAAGGUUUAGCAUGGACAGGUUCUAAGGUGUACACAGGAAGUUCUGCUGUGUACGGGGAAUACGAGAACCCCUUAUGAAAAAAAUCAAUAAGGACUUAGACUGUAUUUGGAGCUUUACUGACAGGAGAAGGGAAACAGUAUUUCAGAACUGCUAGUUGUUAACUGAUGCCUUAGUUCUCCCACGGCAAUUCUAGAGACUAUGUAAUGAGAUUAUUUGCCUAUAUUGGCUACAGGAAAAGUUCAGCUAAGUCUGUCACCUAUGCUUCGAUUCUAUGGUAUUUCACAGCCUAGAAUAAUGACUAGGUGACUCAGAAAAUCAGUAAGGUUAGAUCCUAAUUGGCAGUCCCCAAACAGGAUUCACCAGAGAAGGAAUGAACAGCCUGAGGCUAUGUUACUGGUUUCUCAGGUUCUGCCACAUUUCAAAGUCAGAGGAAUGCCAGGCAGGGCUUAGGACAUAUCAGGGAAGCUUUGCUCUUCCAACUAAAGUCUUGCUUGUUGACAUAGGAAAGCCCAGCCUGAUUUUCCUCAGCAAGACCUGAACAUUAAGGAAUCUCCUAAGACAGGGAAAGCUGGCUCUCUUCAAUUCACUUUAUAUACCACCAAACCUCCACUGGUGUUCUUGGCCAACAGAGCAAUAUGACAGCAAAACUGUUAGUAUCAUAGAAGAAAACUGAUUUAAAGAAACUUUUUUUUUUAAAGAAAACUGAUUUAAAGACUCUUGUAGAAUUAAUUUUCAAUGGUGACUAACAGUCAGAAAGGUAAUAUAUACAUCUUCAUUUUCUUUCAGACAACCAAUAUUCCACAUGGUAGACAAUUGUUUUAGAGUUCUAUAGCUGUGAUAAAUAAAACACAUGACCAGAAGCAAUU
rnacentral:lncRNA from 1 species